rnacentral:misc_RNA from 1 species
GAUGAAGAACGCAGCGAAAUGCGAUAAGUAGUGUGAAUUGCAGAAUUCAAUGAAUCAUCGAAUCUUUGAACGCACAUUGCGCCCCAUGGUAUUCCGUGGGGCAUGCCUGUUCGAGCGUCAUUUACCCCCUCAAGCUCCGCUUGGUGUUGGGCGUCUGUCCCGCUUCGCGCGCGGACUCGCCCCAAAGGUAUUGGCAGCGGUCGUGCCAGCUUCUCGCGCAGCACAUUGCGCUUCUCGAGGCACCGGUGGGCCCGCGUCCAUCAAGCUCACCCCCCCAGUUUGACCUCGGAUCAGGUAGGGAUACCCGCUGAACUUAAGCAUAUCAAUAAGCGGAGGA